UCCCUGAAAACAUGGCGAACAGAGAGAAAAAAAUCGCAAAAUUGAAUUUGAAAAAAAUCCGUAAAAUUGCUAGAAGCAAACCGCUUAAACACUCCAUUAGCGGGUGAAGAAGAAGAGCAUAUUGAUUCAGCUAUGUGGGAUCCUCUAAGUUUUACAUUGAUUGGAGAUGAUUCGCAGCCUGUUGACAUUGGUAGUAGGAAUCCCAGGGAUGGGUAAAUGUUGAGGCCGCCGAAGUAAGGGACGUGUCAGAUGUCGAAAAUGUUCCUAAAGAGAAUUUGAAUGUUGAGAUGAAGUUGGUGAUGUGCGAGAUGUCGAAAAUGCUCCUGAUGUUGGAGUUAUGUCUGAGAAGGAUGAUCAUAAAAGCAAACGAAAAGUUUGUGAAAUAGAAGGCGAAAAAAAUGUAAAUGAUGAAAUUACUGGUAAGAAACGAAAUGCUACUGCUGAUACUCCAAACUGUGGCGCCGAAUCGUCCCCCCUGGUGAUAGUGGAACUCAAACUAUUCAUCUAACCACUGAAGGCCAUUUGGGUGAUGAACACUCUUUGAUACCAUGAGAGUAUAAUAUACUCUAGUGGUAUCAAUGAGUAAAUGAGUAGUAUUUUCACU